CUCAUUUGGACACCAAAGCAAUUAAAUCAAUUUUAAUCAACAUUAGAUGCUUUCUCGAUGUAGGACUUAUUCUCCUUGUUCUUCAGUUUCUGAUCUGCUGAAUGGAAAUUUUCAAACAUCAUCAGCUGUUCAAAUGUCAUUUUGAACAAUAAAUUUUCACAUCAGAAAGGGCAAAUAAAACCAGGAGAAUACAGAGCACCAUCAGAUAUAGAUGCUAAAUAUUUUACAUUCUGCAACUUUUCCAAGUUGUCUUUUUUUAUAUUAUUAUCUUUCAGAACUGCUCUCUGAUUAUCUCAAAACCUUUAUGAAGCAAAGAACACUGAGGUCACUGGCAUUCUAUGGGACACGUCUUCCUUCCUCAGAGGGCUUUUGGAACAACAGCUGUGAUUUUUCCUGGCUCAUAACAAUCAGCAGCCGUAAGGAAACUGCAGUCAGAAUGGAGGAGACAGAUCUGCUGAUGAAGCACAAGCCUGCUUGCUAUCUCAUCCCUCUCACAGACCCCUUUGUUGGCUCUGUACUGCUGAAAGGAGCAACAUGCAACAAGAACUGGGUUUUGUCAAUUGCAUAAGCAGAUAGAUCUAAAUAUGAAUUACACCCUAUUCAGUCUGCUAAAGUCAAUGGCAACUUUCCAGUUGUAGAGUAGGACUAAAGAAAGGAUCUGUUCAGCAAGAAAGGGAUUUCCAGGAUAAUCACUUUCCUGGGUAGACCUGCAGUGAUUAGUUUAUGUAGACUUUAGUUCUUAAGCUGCUUUCACGCUAUCUGGUUGCCUGCAUACCAUGAUGCUGAAUGUCACUUGUCAAAGGUUGUUACUUCACCGCUGGGUCAUUCAUGCUACUGGCCCUUGCAGAGAAAUGGAAA
rnacentral:lncRNA from 1 species